rnacentral:rRNA from 1 species
CGCCAGCAGCCGCGGUAAAACGUAGGAGGCGAGCGUUAUCCGGAUUUACUGGGCGUAAAGCGCGUGCAGGCGGUUGUCUAAGUUGGGCGUAAAAUCUCUCGGCUUAACCGGGAGGCGCCGUCCAAAACUGGAUGACUUGAGGGCAGGAGAGGGAAGCGGAAUUCCCGGUGUAGCGGUAAUAUGCGCAGAUAUCGGGAGGAACACCAGUGGCGAAGGCGGCUUCCUGGCCUGCUCCUGACGCUAAGACGCGAAAGCUAGGGGAGCGAACGGGAUUAGAUACCCCGGUAGUCCUAGCCGUAAACGAUGGAUACUAGGUGUGGUCGGUAUUGACCCCGGCCGUGCCGAAGCCAACGCGUUAAGUAUCCCGCCUGGGGAGUACGACCGCAAGGUUAAAACUCAAAGGAAUUGACGGGGGCCCGCACAAGU